rnacentral:rRNA from 1 species
UACGAGGGGGGCAAGCGUUGUUCGGAAUUAUUGGGCGUAAAGGGUGCGUAGGCGGUUUGACAAGUCUGAUGUGAAAUCUAUGGGCUCAACCCAUAGCCUGCAUCGGAAACUGUCGGGCUUGAGUAUGGGAGAGGUGAGUGGAAUUCCCAGUGUAGCGGUGAAAUGCGUAGAUAUUGGGAGGAACACCAGUGGCGAAGGCGGCUCACUGGACCGGUACUGACGCUGAUGCGCGAAAGCGUGGGGAGCAAACGGG